rnacentral:rRNA from 1 species
UACAUGGGGUGCAAACGUUGCUCGGAAUUAUUGGGCGUAAAGCGCACGUAGGCGGUUCGUUAAGUCGGAUGUGAAAGCCCUCGGCUCAACUGAGGAAGUGCACCCGAAACUGGCGAGCUUGAGUACGAAAGAGGAUCGCGGAAUUCCCGGUGUAGAGGUGAAAUUCGUAGAUAUCGGGAGGAACACCGGUGGCGAAGGCGGCGAUCUGGGUCGAUACUGACGCUGAGGAGCGAAAGCGUGGGGAGCGAACGAGG